rfam:Camelus ferus unplaced genomic scaffold scaffold595, whole genome shotgun sequence.
CCAAAGGCUCUUUUCAGAGCCACUUUACCUUCUUGAUGAAAGAGCUGU